ACGCUGGCGGCAGGCUUAACACAUGCAAGUCGAACGGUAGCAGGAGAAAGCUUGCUUUCUUGCUGACGAGUGGCGGACGGGUGAGUAAUGCUUGGGAAUCUGGCUUAUGGAGGGGGAUAACUACGGGAAACUGUAGCUAAUACCGCGUAGUGUCGAGAGACGAAAGUGCGGGACCGCAAGGCCGCAUGCCAUGAGAUGAGCCCAAGUGGGAUUAGGUAGUUGGUGGGGUAAAGGCCUACCAAGCCUGCGAUCUCUAGCUGGUCUGAGAGGAUGGCCAGCCACACUGGAACUGAGACACGGUCCAGACUCCUACGGGAGGCAGCAGUGGGGAAUAUUGCGCAAUGGGGGGAGCCCUGACGCAGCCAUGCCGCGUGAAUGAAGAAGGCCUUCGGGUUGUAAAGUUCUUUCGGUAUUGAGGAAGGUUGAUGUGUUAAUAGUACAUCAAAUUGACGUUAAAUACAGAAGAAGCACCGGCUAACUCCGUGCCAGCAGCCGCGGUAAUACGGAGGGUGCGAGCGUUAAUCGGAAUAACUGGGCGUAAAGGGCACGCAGGCGGUUAUUUAAGUGAGGUGUGAAAGCCCCGGGCUUAACCUGGGAAUUGCAUUUCAGACUGGGUAACUAGAGUACUUUAGGGAGGGGUAGAAUUCCACGUGUAGCGGUGAAAUGCGUAGAGAUGUGGAGGAAUACCGAAGGCGAAGGCAGCCCCUUGGGAAUGUACUGACGCUCAUGUGCGAAAGCGUGGGGAGCAAACAGGAUUAGAUACCCUGGUAGUCCACGCUGUAAACGCUGUCGAUUUGGGGAUUGGGGCUUAAAGCUUGGUGCCCGUAGCUAACGUGAUAAAUCGACCGCCUGGGGAGUACGGCCGCAAGGUUAAAACUCAAAUGAAUUGACGGGGGCCCGCACAAGCG
rnacentral:rRNA from 1 species